rnacentral:rRNA from 1 species
CACCGGAGCUUGCUCUGGUGGGAUUAGUGGCGAACGGGUGAGUAACACGUGAGCAAUCUGCCCCCGACUCUGGGAUAACCCCGAGAAAUCGGAGCUAAUACCGGAUACGACACCUCCUGGCAUCAGGUGGGUGUGGAAAGAACAUCGGUUGGGGAUGAGCUCGCGGCCUAUCAGCUUGUUGGUGAGGUAAUGGCUCACCAAGGCGACGACGGGUAGCCGGCCUGAGAGGGUGACCGGCCACACUGGGACUGAGACACGGCCCAGACUCCUACGGGAGGCAGCAGUGGGGAAUAUUGCACAAUGGGCGCAAGCCUGAUGCAGCAACGCCGCGUGGGGGACGAAGGCCUUCGGGUUGUAAACCUCUUUUGGCAGGGAAGAAGCGAAAGUGACGGUACCUGCAGAAAAAGCACCGGCUAACUACGUGCCAGCAGCCGCGGUAAUACGUAGGGUGCAAGCGUUGUCCGGAAUUAUUGGGCGUAAAGAGCUCGUAGGCGGUGUGUCACGUCUGCUGUGAAAAUCCAAGGCUCAACCUUGGACUUGCAGUGGGUACGGGCACACUCGAGUGCGGUAGGGGAGAUUGGAAUUCCUGGUGUAGCGGUGGAAUGCGCAGAUAUCAGGAGGAACACCGAUGGCGAAGGCAGAUCUCUGGGCCGUAACUGACGCUGAGGAGCGAAAGCGUGGGGAGCGAACAGGAUUAGAUACCCUGGUAGUCCACGCCGUAAACGGUGGGAACUAGAUGUGGGGUCCGUUCCACGGAUUCCGUGUCGCAGCUAACGCAUUAAGUUCCCCGCCUGGGGAGUACGGCCGCAAGGCUAAAACUCAAAGGAAUUGACGGGGGCCCGCACAAGCGGCGGAGCAUGCGGAUUAAUUCGAUGCAACGCGAAGAACCUUACCAAGGCUUGACAUAUAGAGGAAAAGUGCAGAGAUGCACUCCCCGCAAGGUCUCUAUACAGGUGGUGCAUGGUUGUCGUCAGCUCGUGUCGUGAGAUGUUGGGUUAAGUCCCGCAACGAGCGCAACCCUCGUCCUAUGUUGCCAGCACGUAAAGGUGGGAACUCAUGG